GUUCGCUUUGGCAGCACAUAUCCUAAAAUUGGAACGAGAUAGAGAUGAUUAGCAUGCCCCCUGCACAAGGAUGGCACACAGAUUCAUGAAGCAGUCCAUGUUUUU
ensembl:snRNA U6 U6 spliceosomal RNA